rnacentral:rRNA from 1 species
GAUGAACGCUGGCGGUGUGCUUAACACAUGCAAGUCGAACGGUAAGGCCCUUUCGGGGGUACACGAGUGGCGAACGGGUGCGUAACACGUGAGUAACCUGCCCUCAUCUCUGGGAUAACAGUCGGAAACGGUUGCUAAUACUGGAUAUGAGCCUGCAAGGCAUCUUGUGGGUUGGAAAGAUUUUUUGGUUGGGGAUGGACUCGCGGCCUAUCAGCUUGUUGGUGAGGUAGUGGCUCACCAAGGCUUCGACGGGUAGCCGGCCUGAGAGGGCGACCGGCCACAUUGGGACUGAGAUACGGCCCAAACUCCUACGGGAGGCAGCAGUGGGGAAUAUUGCACAAUGGACGGAAGUCUGAUGCAGCAACGCCGCGUGCGGGAUGACGGCCUUCGGGUUGUAAACCGCUUUCAAUUGUGACGAAGCUUUUUGUGACGGUAGCAGUAGAAGAAGCACCGGCUAACUACGUG